rnacentral:rRNA from 1 species
CUGGAACGCGCCCCAGGCGCACCCAGAAACCCUUUGUGAACUUAUACCUUACUGUUGCCUCGGCGCAUGCUGGUCCUCCGGGGCCCCUCACCCCCGGGUGUUGAGACGGCACGCCGGCGGCCAACCCAACUCUUGUUUUUACACGGAAACUCUGAGCACAAAACAUAAAUGAAUCAAAACUUUCAACAACGGAUCUCUUGGUUCUGGCAUCGAUGAAGAACGCAGCGAAAUGCGAUAAGUAAUGUGAAUUGCAGAAUUCAGUGAAUCAUCGAAUCUUUGAACGCACAUUGCGCCCUCUGGUAUUCCGGAGGGCAUGCCUGUUCGAGCGUCAUUUCAACCCUCAAGCCUGGCUUGGUGAUGGGGCACUGCUUCUUACCCGAGAAGCAGGCCCUGAAAUUCAGUGGCGAGCUCGCCAGGACCCCGAGCGCAGUAGUUAAACCCUCGCUCUGGAAGGCCCUGGCGGUGCCCUGCCGUUAAACCCCCAACUUCUGAAAAU